UAAACCAAACUAAAAUUCCAACCACAUACAUUAUUUCAAAAUGAGGAAAUUAACCCAAAAAAAAAAAAAUCACACAAAUUUUAUAACUGCGUAAGUUCCUUUAUUGCUGCUCAAGUGUCAUCAAGUUUGGAAGAUCUAUUCUUUAGUGGGAUAAAAGCUAUAAUCACCAAUGUUUUUUUUCCGCUACAAUAUACAAGACAGGUUGCAACAGUUCUUUUAUGAUUUGGCAGCGAUUUUUGAAACAGCAACAAAUAAACUACUGUUAUUUCAUAUAUAUUGGUUUUGUUGUCCACUCUUUGUCUUUAGACAAAGAAUGAAGAUAUUUAUAAGAGACUUUGAUACUUAAGUUAAUAAAUGUUUUAGUAGAAUUUAAAAAAAAAAUAAAUGAUCUUUUACCUGAAAUGUAUAUGUAUUUAUAAAAAUGGAAUGUAGAUAAUUUGGUCUUUUUUUAUAUUAUUACAAGUUAUUGUUCGAUGAUGGUGAGUAGUUAUCCCUCCAUUAUAUAGGCAAUUACUAAAUAAUGGAGUAUUUUUCCCUUUCUAUACUAUGUAACCAUAAUGGAGAGUUUUCACUACCACAAAAACGGAAGAUAGCAGACAAUUAGCAGCUAUUUUGACAAUCGUCGCUAUCUAACGAUUUUCCAGCAGUUUCAGUGGUGAACGCAGGAAGAGCAGCUAUUUGAUUUGAUUUUGCCACAAAUUUUUGAAAAAAUGCUGCUAAUCUAAAUUUUUUUGGCGAUAUUUUAAUUCCUAUUUCCCAAAAACACAACACUCAGCACUCAGCAGCUUCAACAAAUAAAAAAAAAAAGAAAGAAAGCAAUGUUAAGAGAAGAGAGGGAGAAACAGAGAAGGAGAGGAAAGGGAGGAAGGAGCUGGGCCGGCGCUGCUGAGUUCGCUGCCGCCGUCGCGUUGCCGUGCCGUUAGAAAGCCAGAACCGCAAGAGAAAGAACUGCGAAGAGAGAGGGAGACCGCAUCAGCUCACCGCGAAGCCAGCGCCGUCGUCGUCCUCAUCGCGGGUCUGCACCGUCGCCUCUUGCCACCGCCGCCACCACUAAGCUUGCUGUCAUCGCCACUGAAGCCGAAGAGAGAGAGAGUGUGUUCGCGAAGAGAGGGAGAGCGCGCGCUCACGAAGGAGAAGAACGACGAAGAGUGAAGGAGAAGCAGAAGAUGAUGAACCCAGGGGAGAAGGAGGAGGUUCGUUCUUGCACCGUCCUGCUAUGCCGCCGCGGCUACCGUCGAUUGGGGUCAAGGCCGUCGCCGUCGCACCCUGUUCCAGUCGCCAUUAGGGUUUUUUGUUGUUGUCAUUGAUAGCGCCGCCGCUGGGAGGAGCCGAAAGGGGAGAGGAGGUCGCCGUCAAACACGCCGCCACCAGUUACAACCGUCGCCGAAACCAGGACAGAUUCACCAAUAACUCUGCUUCUUCCUUUCUUGAAUAUGUUCUGCUUCUAUUUUGUUCCAAUAUUCUCCUAACUUUCUUUCUAUGCACUUUGAAAUUGGUUUUGCUAAUUUUUUUGUACCCAGUAAUUGCUUUGCUUCAUCGAUGGUAUGUCUUGCUUGCUUUUCAAAUUUAAUUUUGCUGCCUGACUGACAAUGACAUGGGUAUUGUACAUUUUAUUGAUUUAUUAUUUCCUUGGAUAUGUUGUACUGGCACUUGAUAAACUUGUUCUCCACCAUGAGGGUGUUGAGAUAUUAUACUCAUUAAAACAAAGGUAGAUUUCAUUACUUGCUUCCUCUCAUUUGAUGGCGUUUACCUAUGUGGGGGUGUGUCGUGUUUGCUUUUCAAAUUUAAUUUUGCCCAAGCUCCAAGUUGUAACAGUAAUGAACAUUAUUGGUAUGCUAGAGGCCUAAGGUAUUUUAUUAAUUUUUUCAUGACUGUGCUUGUAAGAGGAUCAUUUGAUUUCAAACUACAGUCAAGUAAGUGCAAUCAUGUAAUUAGAAUUAAUGUGCCUUAGGAUAACUUAGUUAUUUUUAUGAUGGAUAUGAGAAUAUUAAGUAAUGAUUAGCCUUUGCAUCUUAUGUGAAUGGUCCCAAUUGAACCUUCUUUACAAGUCUCGUUCUUUCUAAUUGAUAAAUGUUGUUUUCCUCUUGGGAAGUUCAUUAUGACGAGUAUUUGGAGUCAAUGUGAUCUCAAACUCUGUUUGUUACUGUUGGUUAAGCUUCUAUUUUGUAGUGGCUUAGAAGUAGACAGAGACACUAUAACUGGGCCACUAAAGGGUCUAACAGCAAUGAUGAAAAGCAGAGUUCGGAUUCUAAAAGUGUUGUGGAGUUAACUAUUGGAAUAUCAGAAGAAGCUCAGCAAGUAACCAGUGAUGAUGCACCA